rnacentral:rRNA from 1 species
UACGUAGGGCGCGAGCGUUGUCCGGAAUUAUUGGGCGUAAAGAGCUCGUAGGCGGUCUGUCGCGUCUGCUGUGAAAUCCCAGGGCUUAACCCUGGGCCUGCAGUGGGUACGGGCAGACUAGAGUGCGGUAGGGGAGAUCGGAAUUCCUGGUGUAGCGGUGAAAUGCGCAGAUAUCAGGAGGAACACCGGUGGCGAAGGCGGAUCUCUGGGCCGUAACUGACGCUGAGGAGCGAAAGCAUGGGUAGCGAACAGG